CGAGGGAGGGUUGCUCGGAGCCUUCGGGCUCCGGGUCCAACUCUACCGGCGAACGGGUGCGUAACACGUGGGCAAUCUGCCUCGAAGACGGGGACAACCUCGGGAAACCGGGGCUAAUACCCGAUACCCUCACCGGGCCGCCUGGCCUGGCGCGGAAAGGGUCCGCAAGGUCCGCUUCGAGAUGAGCCCGCGGCGUAUCAGCUAGUUGGCGGGGUAACGGCCCACCAAGGCGAUGACGCGUAGCCGGCCUGAGAGGGUGGUCGGCCACACUGGAACUGAGACACGGUCCAGACUCCUACGGGAGGCAGCAGUUAGGAAUCUUGGGCAAUGGGCGCAAGCCUGACCCAGCGACGCCGCGUGAGGGAUGAGGGCCUUCGGGUCGUAAACCUCUUUCGGGAGGGAAGAAGCCGGCUUGCCGGUGACGGUACCUCCAGAAGAAGCCCCGGCUAACUACGUGCCAGCAGCCGCGGUAAGACGUAUGGGGCGAGCGUUGUCCGGAUUCACUGGGCGUAAAGCGCGUGCAGGCGGCCCGUUCAGUCCCGUGUGAAAGCCUCCGGCUCAACCGGAGAAUGUCCCGGGAUACUGGCGGGCUUGAGGAAGGCAGAGGGUGGUGGAAUUCCCGGUGUACCGCUGAAAUGCGUAGAUAUCUGGAGGAGCGCCAUUGGCGAAAGCCGCCACCUGCGCCUUCUCUGACACUGAGACGCCAAUUCUGGGGGAGCGAACGGCAUUACAUACC
rnacentral:rRNA from 1 species